GGCCAGUAGUUCAAUGGUGAGAACGCUCGUCUGAUAUGCGAGCAAUACCGGUUCGAUUCCGGUCUGGCCCA
rnacentral:tRNA from 1 species